GACGAACGCUGGCGGCGCGCCUAACACAUGCAAGUCGAACGAGCGGGCGGAGGUUUACUUUCUCAAUCGAGUGGCGAACGGGUGAGUAACGCGUGAGGAACCUGCCUCAAAGAGGGGGACAACAGUUGGAAACGACUGCUAAUACCGCAUAAGCGCACGAGCCGGCAUGGGGGAGAGGGAAAAGGGGCAGUCCGCUUUGAGAUGGCGUCGCGUCCGAUUAGCUAGGUGGUGGGGUGAUGGCCCACCAAGGCGACGAUCAGUAGCCGGGCGGGGGGGCGGACCGGUCACAUUGGGACUGAGACACGGACCAGUCUCCGACGCAGGGGAGGAGUGGGGUAUAUUGCAGGAUGGGGGAAGACCUGAUGACGCGGCGCCGGGGGGAGGGAGAAGGUGUUCGGAUUGUGAACUCCUGUUGUUGAGGAAGAUAAUGACGGUACUCAACAAGGAAGCGACGGCUAACUACGUG
rnacentral:rRNA from 1 species